rnacentral:lncRNA from 1 species
GUGGCCGCGCUGUCCGGCUCUGCGGCCACUCGAGGGUGGCGGGGGGGCGGUCCCGGUCCCUCCCGGCGGGGGCGGCCGCUGUGGCCCGAGGCCGGACGGGUACAGGAACGGGCGCACCGGUACCGGCACCGAGCCCGGCCCGCGGAACCGGGACCAUGGUGAGUCCCGGCCGCCGCUUUCGCUUUCGCUUUGCUCGGGGCAGGGCGGGCUCGGGGCCCCGGGAGCCGCCGGGCUCGGGAUCCCCCGGUGCCGGUGCUGGUGCCGGUGCCUGUCCCGGGCUCCCCCUGCCGCGGUCCCCGGGGCGGUGGGAGGUGGCCCGCGCGGGACAUUCCGUGUCCCCCGCGGUCCCGGUGUCCCCGUGUCCCUCCCCAGUCCCCGUGCUCCGGUGUCCCCGUCCCCACGGUUUCCUGUCCCCGAGCUCCGUGCGUGUCCCCCUCGCGGUGCCAUUGUCCCUGCCUGUCCCCGUGUCCCCUUGGCGCCCACGUCCCCGGUGCUCUCCCCGUGUCCCCCCGUGUCCCCACGGUGUCCCCGUGUCCCCAGGCGGGGCUGGAGCGGUGCCAGCGCGAGGCCGAGGAGGUGGCGGAGCUGAUGCGACAGAACGUGGCCAAGGCGCUGGAGCGGGAGGGACACCUGGAGCAGCUGCAGAGCCGGGCCCAGGACCUGCGACAGGCGAGCGAGGCCUUCACCCGCACCACGCGCACGGUGACGCGGCGCCAGCGCAGGAGACACCGCCGGUGGCACCUGGUGGCCCUCGGCCUCGGCCUCCUCCUCUUCUUCAUCCUGGCGCUGGCCCUGGCGCUGGCCCUGGCGCGGGCAUCGCCCGGGGCUGUCACCAGCACUGUCCCCACCCCGCAGGGCGGCACCCAGCACCCCCCCAGCACCGCGGGCACCCUCUGAGCACAGAGGGACCGCAAGGGACAAUGAAUAAAUGACAGAUAAACACCCGGGCUCUGGGGACACCUGCAGUGACAACACUGUCACCCUGCAAUGACACUAACAAACCAGCGGGACAUCCUCCAGGGGACCCCACAGCCAAUGAACUGCAAAAUCUGCUCUGAAGAGACCUCACACCGAAAACCCAGCCAGCCCCACGCGAGGGAAACAGCACGGCGAGCACAGGAGCUCUGUGGGGACACCUGAGAUCCCAAACCUGGAGCGUGGACCUCGGGGAGACCCUGCAACAAAUAAACACCAGGGUCUGCUUUGGGAUGGCCCUGCA